rnacentral:lncRNA from 1 species
GCUAAUCAAACACAAACCUCCAUUCACCCUGUGCAUUCAUUUUGGGAUAUUUUCAAAAAUAUACCAUUUGAAAAAAAUAAUUAUAUUAUUAGCUCGUUGCAUGGGCUUUACCUAGUGCGGUUUACAUCUCCUGUGUGGUUUACGAGCAAUUGCACAGCGAGGGGUUUACCCAGUGCUCACCACAGAGUGCUCACCCAAAGGGCAGAUGUUGUAGCGGCUCUAGGUUAUCUUGAAAUUUCAAAAAAAAAAAAAAAACAUUAUGCGACUUUAUAUAAUAUUAUGAAUUUACGGUAUAAAAAUCUCUCUCUCUCUCUCUCUCUCUAUAUAUAUAUAUAUAUAUAUAUAUAUAUAUAUAUAUAUAUACUAGUUUAGCUAGACAUGCCUCGCACGUGUAACAUUUGAUUAUUUAAAAUUAAAUGAUUUUAUCUAUUGCAAAGAUUUUAAUGAAGUGUAAAAGUUUAAAUCACUUUAAAAGAUUCUUCACACUUUAAUAUAAUAACGUAAACAUAAACAUACUUUUUACUGUAAGCACACAUAUAUAUUUUGCAUCAUCACUUUUACGUUUGUUAUGCAGUACCUCCUUCCCUUGAUGUCAUAGACUAAGAGAGACGCAACAAUUUGAAUCAUAUUUGUGAUAUGGUUAUUUUUUUUUUUGUUUCUAUAUUUAAAAUUCUUCCUUGUUUUUAAAGUCAAAUAUUUACAAAUUCAUUGUUAUUACGUACUUAAAACUUUUUAAAAUUUGGAACUUUUUGAUUUUUUUCUUAUUUUAACGCUUUUACAUUUAUUUCUAGGUUUUUCAAAUCUUCUUUAAAUCACUUAAAACUUUUAAACAUUUGGUACUUUUUGAAUUUUUCUUAUUUUAACGCUUUUAUAUUUAUUUCUAGAUUUUUCAAAUCUUCUUUAAAUCAAAUUUAGUUGAUUUAGAAUUCUAAAAUUAAUGAAAAAAAAUAUUAGUUAUCAUUAAUUCUGAUGACUUCUAAUAAGGAAAGAUUUUACCAUAAAUAUAUUUAAUUAAUUUUCAACUCUUUUAUAUUAGUAAAAAAAAUAGUGAAAGAUUUUACCAUAAAUAUAUUUAAUUAAUUUUCAACUCUUAAAUAUAAAUAUUAGAAAAAAAUAGUGAACAUACGAUUUUGUCUAAUGCAAAAAACUUUUAAUGAAGGGCAAAAAGUUCAAAUUACAUUUCUAAGACCCUUCACACUUUUAAUAUAUUAUAGAUAUAUCACACCCCUUUUUCCACUCCGAAAGGAUAAGAUUUUCAGUUUGAAAGGAUUUUUAUUAUUAAAGUGACAAAAGAUUAAAAAUUUAUUUUGAAAAAGGACUAUUUACAUUUUUUAUUCAGAGUCGUCACUUGGCAUAAUCCGGUGUGCCAAGUCACCUUUGGAAAAUCCUUUUCAAAACUGUUUUGACUUUUUUAAAACUGGUUUGCGAACAGAGAUUCCAGCUAAGGAAUUCUGUUGACCGAGGAAAAGGUGUUAGGCACUCCUCGAUUCCGUGGUUCGACCAUGGUCGCUUGGUAGAGUGUAUCGGCUAAUUUUAAUACUAUGAAUGUACAAACCACACACAAAAAAAAGAUCAAUCAAACAAACAAAUCCAAAACAAUGUCCAGUCCAAAUUAUACAAUCCCAAAAAUUGUAAUAAAAAAAUGCAAAAAUGUAAAUCGUAUUCUAAACUAAUCCUAGACUAAUGCUCUACCCAACGCUUCGGGUCUUUCUCACGAAUGUAUUUCGAGUACAAGAUACCUCGGGGCAUUCCCCGACUAAAUAAAUACAUUUUUCAGUGUCAGAAAAUCUAAACUAUUCAAUAGAACUUCAAACAUUCAACAGAAUUUCAAAUAUUCGACCAAACACUUAAUCCUAAAUUUUUGCCUACCCAAACCUAUAUUUACCUAUCCGUUGCAACAUGAUCCUAUCAAGUUCACAAACCUGAUAUUUAUUCCAAAUUAAACAAAGCAACAAUAGAUCAAAGUUAACCCAAAUGCAUCUUACCAAACAUGCAAUUCCCAUCCCUCAUUUCAUGCUCAAUCACACGCUUAAUUCAUUCUUCGAUUAACGAUUCAAUUUUCUCUUCAAAAUCCAAAACCAACCUCAACCGUACACACAAAAAAUAUUCAAGCAUGGCAAGCACACAAAGACAUUCAUCUACAAAAAUAAUCGAGAUUCAAGAUAAAGAUAGAGAACGAGAGAAGAAAUGGACCUCAAAUUUUGCUUUUAUGAAUGUUAUCCUGUUGAAACAAAAGAGAAUUCGCGCCGAGAACCUCGACAAUGAACCAAACUCCAACCCGGUAUUUGGGAAAUUGUAACCUCGAACAGAGUAUUUGGGAAAUUGUAACCUCGAACAGAGUAGCAACAGAGCAAUCUGCCCAGAAACUAUUUCAACAAAGGAAAAUCGAUGAACCCAAAGCCCGAUUUUGAAACUAAAAUGCUAAGACAGAUGAUCCAAAGCCUCAGUCAACACAAUAAAAGACCAAAACUGAUGUAUCUUGAGCUUCGGUGAGCUCAGACGGAAGCAAAACACAACGGAUUAAGACAGAUUCUGGAUCGACGAGGCCUAAAACCGCUGGACAACCACUGGUUCCGGCGAGACUAGCUGUUUGACUGUUUCCGACCAGAUUCAUCCAAGAUAGGGAGAAAACCUAGAGAUUCCGGUGAAGUAGUCGCCUGAACAGUGACUAAACGCACAAAAAAAUCUUUUUCCCCUUUGAUUCUCACUUCAUCUCACCCACUUUUCUUCUUUUCUCAUUGUUUUCACUCAUGUUUUCGAAUUUCAAUCAGUGUGUAUGUAGUGUGUUUGUGAAGAAAAGAAAGAAAUGAAAAUGGAGCUCUUUAAGUGGUCUGUGUUAGGAGUGUGCAUCAAUGGUGGAGUUCUAUUGUUGUUCUACCAUGGAAAUUAAAAAAAAAUGGAGGUGGUCUAUAUUUCUAAAGUGGGGUGAGGGUCAAAGAAAGAAAGAAAAAACAUUGAGAGUCGUUCCCUGAUGAAGAUGAUCCUAAAAAAAAAAUGGGUCCUCUUUUCCUUUUCCUUUGUGAUCAAGAAAUGUGAGGAAAAAAACGGGGGCACUUGAGUGGGGGGUGAGAUGAUUUAUUUUGAUUGGGUAGGUUGUUAGGAUAAGAUAAAAUUAGGUAGAGGUUAUUGUUUUGUUAUUUUGUGGAGGGAUUAUAACAUGGGUGAGGGUACAUGGUAGGAUAAAGUAAAAAAUAGGUAAAAAUAAUAUCGGGGAGAAACGAAAUUAGGUGUCUACAAGAUAUAGAUUAUAG